GACGAACGCUGGCGGCGUGCUUAACACAUGCAAGUCGAACGGAAAGGCCCUGCUUUUUUGGGGUGCUCGAGUGGCGAACGGGUGAGUAACACGUGAGUAACCUGCCCUUGACUUUGGGAUAACUUCAGGAAACUGGAGCUAAUACCGGAUAGGAGCUCCUGCUGCUUGGUGGGGGUUGGAAAGUUUCGGCGGUUGGGGAUGGACUCGCGGCUUAUCAGCUUGUUGGUGGGGUAGUGGCUUACCAAGGCUUGGACGGGUAGCCGGCCUGAGAGGGUGACCGGCCACAUUGGGACUGGGAUAAGGCCCAGACUCCUACGGGAGGCAGCAGUGGGGAAUAUUGCACAAUGGGCGGAAGCCUGAUGCAGCAACGCCGCGUGGGGGAUGACGGCCUUCGGGUUGUAAACCGCUUUCGCCUGUGACGAAGCGUGAGUGACGGUAAUGGGUAAAGAAGCACCGGCUAACUACGUG
rnacentral:rRNA from 1 species